CCUUUGACGUCUUCCCCCGGGAGGUGGCGGGGGUCUGCGACCGAAUGCCGGCGGGACUCUGGGUCAGGGCUUCUGGCGGGCCCUGCGGGGGGCAGCGAGGUGACCGUGAACCUGCGGCUCAUGGCGCGGAAAGGAGCCAGGCGGCCGCGGCAAGGUCCGGGAUCGCACAAGUGGCUGCAACCAGGCUCUAGGAGGGAGAAAGAGCGGAUCCCCCAACCCCCUCCGCCCGCCCGCCCCCCGCGAGACGCGGCGCCGCGCAGGGUCCUAGUGCCCGCUGUGCGAAGGGUUCCUGAAUCUGGCCACUUCGCUGGGAGGCCCUGGGCUCCCCAGUGCCACCCGAAGGGCCUGAGGAGGCCAUCUGCAGGUGAGAGUCGUCCCUACAACGGGGGCACCUCUGUUAGGGUCUCCUAAACACCUGGGGCUCAUUCAUUCAUUCAUUCAUUCAUUCGGCACAUGUCGAUAGCGCUCCUGUGUUUCGGUCAAUGGUGCGAGGGAUACGUCGGUGGAUGAGAUCCACUGGCUUCUUGCCCUCAAGUGGCUUAAAUUCUAAUAAGGAGAAAAAGAUUAUAAGUGAGCAAAUGCAUAGAUGAGAUCAUUUGAGAUUGGAUGUAUGUUUAAAACUAGGGCCAUGGGAUAAUGGGUAAGAGGGAGGACUACUUUAGGGGUGGCCUGAGAAGGCCUCCUAGAAGAUGUGGUAUUUGAGCUGAGACCUCACUGAUGAGAAGGGCCAGCUAUGCAAAGAUCUAGGGGGAAGAGUUCUCUAGAAGAAGAAACAGCAAAUGCAGAGCCUUGGAGUGAGAAGGAGUCCCGACUGUCCAAGAAACAGCAAGGCCAUUGUGUCUGGAAGAGAGUGAGUGGAGAAGAGAGUGACUGGAGAUGAGGGAGGAGAGAAGGGCAGAUCAUGUGGUCUUCUGAAGGCUUUGGGGAGGAUCCUGGAUUUUUUGAGCAGGGGAAUGAUGUGAUCCAAUUUAUAAUUUAACAGGAUCAUUCUGGCUGCUGGGCGAAGGUUCAACUAAAGAAUGGCAAGAGUAGAAGCUGGAAAUCUAAUUAGGAGGCUCCUGCAGACCCCAAGCUGGGGGGUGAUGACAGCCAGACUAGAGUGGUGGCAGUUGUCUGAUUCCAGUUAGGUUUUGAAAGUGAAACCAUCAGGACCCACUGAUGGAUCGGAUGUGACACGUGACCAUAAGAGUGAAGUCAAGGAGAAAUCCUGGCAAUUCACACACUGCUGGUGGGAGUGUAGUUAGGCAAAAACUACUUUGGGAAACUAUUUGGAAACAUCUACUGAAGGUGAACGUACACAUAUCCUUCAACCCAGCAGUUUUUCUCCUAGGUAUAUACCCGAAAGAAAUGACUACUUGUGAUCACCAAAAGACAUUUACCAUGAAUGUUCAUAGGGGCAUUGUUCAUAAUAGCCCCAAAUUGGAAUCUACCAAAUGCUUGUCAACAGUAAAAUAGAGAAAUAAGUCGUAGUACCUUCACACAAUGGAAUACCAUCUACAAUUCUCAGAACAAUAUGGAUGAAUCUCACAAAUAGAACCUUGAUAAAAAAGAGUCCAGACACAAAAGAAUACAUACCCUAUAACACUAUUUAAAUACAGUAAAAAAUAGUCAAAGUCUAUCUAAGCUGUUAGAAGUAAUGAUAGUGGCACUGGGCGCGGUGGCUCACACCUGUAAUCCCAGCACUUUGGGAGGCCAAGGCUGGUGGAUCAUGAGGUCACGAGUUCAAGACCAGCCUGGCCAAGAUGGUGAAACCCCAUCUCUACUAAAAAUACAAAAAUUAACCAUGUGUAGUGGUGGGUGCCUGUAAUCCUAGGUAUUUGGGAGACUGAGGCAGAGAAUUGCUUGAACCUGGGAGGCGGAGGUUGCAGUGAGCAGAGAUCAUGCGACUGCACUCCAGCCUGGGUGACAGAAAAAAAAAAAAGUAAUGAUAGUGGUACCCCUUGGGGAGAAGAGGUAGUGAUUGCAAGCAGGCUUCUAGGGUGCUGAUAAUGUUUUGUUUCUUUCUUUUUUUUUUUUUUUUUUUUUGUCUCUUGAGACAGAAUCUCACUCUGUCGCCCAGGCCAGAGUACAGUGUCAUGAUCUUGGCUCACUGCAACCUCCACCUCCCAGUUCAAGAAAUUCUCCUACCUCAGCCUCCCAAGUAGCUGGGAUUACAAGGUACCCACGACCGUGCCCAGCUAAUUUUUGUAUUUUUAGUGGAGAGAGUUAUUCACCAUGUUGGCCAGGCUGGUUUUGAACUCCUGAUCUCAGAUGAUCCACCUGCCUUGGCCUUCCAAAGUGCUGGGAUUAUAGGCAUGAGCCACCAUGCCCAGCCUCUUGUUUCUUGACCUGGUGCUGGUUACACACUUGUGUUCCAUUUGUGAAAAUGUCUUCAAAUGUACACUUAUGAUAGAUACAUUUGUAUAUUUAUUAUAUUAUGGCAAUGGUUCUCAACUGGGAGCAAUGUUGACCACCAGGGAAUGUUUGGCAAUAUUCAGAGACAUUUUUGGUUAUCACAACUGGAGCAGGGGCUAGUACCAGCAUCUAGGGGCUAAAGGCCUCUUGGGCCCUCUAGGUUUGUACCAGGGCUGCCUGGCCAUGAGUCACAGUUCAACAUUACCCUGCUGCACCCCAUCCCCACACUGGGGCCUUCCUUAGCAGAGAGGGCUGACCCUGAAUGGGCCUGGCAUCUGGCCGUGGAUCCUGUCACCUCCUAGAGGAAGACACCAAACAUGCUAGAAGGUACAGUGUAGAUGUACAGUGUAAGACAAUCCCCCACAACAAAGUAUCCAGCCCAAAAUGUCAAUAGUGUAGAGGCUGAGAAACCCAGUACUAGAAAAGAAGUUUAAAUAACUGAUUCCUAGAUUUUAGGACUGAUUAGGUGUUCAGUUUGAUUGAGGGUGGAUGAUGCUGUCUCUUAUUAAAGUGGUAACAACAGAGGAGCACGUUUGGAAGGUGAAACCCAGGAGUCAGUUUGGACCCGUUAGGUUGAGAGGUCUGUUUGCCAGCUAAGGAGCCAUGUAGAGUAGGCAGUUGAACAUGAGUCUGGAGCUCGGGGCAGGGGAGAGGAGGUUAUGGUAGGAAACAUAAAUUUCACGGUCUUUAGCAGAGAGAUGCUAUUUAAGGCUGUGGGCUACCAGACAUCACAGGGAAUGAGUAUACACAGAGCAGAGGAUUCCCACGAUUGAGCACAAGGGUGCCUCUGUCACCAGAAGAGGAAAAUCCACCCAGUGAGGUAGGAGGAGACCCAGAAGUAAGGUUCCAGAGGCCGAGAGUUUCAGGAAGAAGGGCAGGAUCCACUGUGUCAAUGUGGGGAGAGUUGGUGUGGGAUGAGCAGAGAGGAGCUCCUGUCACAUCUGGCUACAAGAAGGUCAUAAAUGGCUUUGAAGAGGGUGACUUUGGUGGUGUAGUGGGGUGGGAGCCAGGCUGGAAAUGGCUGAGGAGAGAAUGGGAAUUGAGGAAGUGGAGACAGUGAGUAGAGACCAUGCUUUUGGGAAGUUUUAUUGUGAAUAGGGAUAGGAAGGUAGAGAAAUAGACUAGUAUCUAGUGGGAGGCAGGGGUUAAGACAGAUUGUAAACAAGCCAUGGCGGGGAAUGUUUGUACGCCAAGUGGGAGUGGGUCAUUUGAGCAAGAAACAGAUGAAAGAGGAAGCUCAGGAGGGCAGUUUUCUGGACUCCUACUUAAAUUCCCACGUGGGCCCUGAUCAAACCCAUCAUCUCCACUCACGGGCCCCAAUCUUUCAGUCAAGUCCCUUUGCUAACCUGUAAGGUCAAAUUCAUAUUCAGCUUGGCAUUCAGGACUUCUCUCAUCUAGCCCAAACUAGCACUGCUAUCUUAACCAUUCUGGAAUCCUCUCCAUUCCCUCUUAGCCACCUGCUACUACCCCAUGCUGGAGUUCUGAGCCAUUUGAAGUUCUCCAGACACCCACUGCUUUUUCUCUUCUUUUUCUCUUCGUGCACUUGCACCAAGAACCCACAUUCAAAUCCCACUCUUAUCACUCACUAGCUAUGAGACUUUGGGUGAGUUGUAUAACUCUCUGUGCCUUAGUUUCCUUAUCUGUAAAACAAGGGAUUGGUGAUGGCAGUAAUAAUAGUACAUACAAAGUAAUAGGAGUACCUAUCUCCUCUGGUUGUUUUGUCACACAAAAUGCACAUAGAACAGUGCCUGGCACAUAGUGCUGUACCGUGGAUAGCUACUAACGUCAGGUAUAUGAUCCAUAUUUUAUUUAUCCACUGACUUACUCCUGGGCAGCUAGGUUAUUGCCAGUUUUUCACUAACAAACAAUGCUGCAAUCAACAUCCUUCUAUGUGUUGUCUUGUGCACACAUGUGAGGGUCAGAAAGUAGUUACAUUUUUAGGUUUAGUGGUUCUUGGUAAAUUACCCUGUAAGAAGAUUGUCCCUUGCACAGGAAGAAGCUCGUUCAUCCUUUCUGAUUCAGUUCCGGUUCAGAUGUCAUCUUGACUGAGAAACGUUCCUGGACCUCAACCACAACACAGACACACACACAUGUGCACACACACACACCAUUAUUGUAGAAUAAAAGAUCAUGCACUGCACACUCCCCAAGUGUGAUCCCACCGCCACCAGCCAUAGAAUCACCCUUGUAAAUAGGUCAGACUCUCUGGAGGUGGAGCCUGGAGUUGCAUUUUAAGCAAGUUCCAAGGGGAAUCUUAUGCAUUCUAAAGUCUAACUCAUUUCUCUAUCCCCAUUGCCCAGUACAGGGCCUGGCUCCAUGUAGGGGCUCAAUAAAUGUUUGAUGAAUGAAUAAACAGGUUGAUCAUUUCCUUGACUGUAAAAUAGAAAUAAUCACAUCAUACUUUCCUAACAGGAAUGAUUGAAUAUGUUAACAUUUACAAAGUGCCUAGAACACUAUUUUUUUUUUUUUUGAGACGGAGUCUUGCUCAGUCACCCAGG
rnacentral:lncRNA from 1 species